rnacentral:rRNA from 1 species
CGUAGGCGGGUUUCUAAGUCAGAGGUGAAAGCCUGGAGCUCAACUCCAGAACUGCCUUUGAUACUGGAAGUCUUGAGUUCGGGAGAGGUGAGUGGAACUGCGAGUGUAGAGGUGAAAUUCGUAGAUAUUCGCAAGAACACCAGUGGCGAAGGCGGCUCACUGGCCCGAUACUGACGCUGAGGCACGAAAGCAUGGGGAGCAAACA